rnacentral:rRNA from 1 species
AUUGAACGCUGGCGGCAGGCCUAACACAUGCAAGUCGAGCGGUUGACGGGAGCUUGCUCCCUGAUUCAGCGGCGGACGGGUGAGUAAUGCCUAGGAAUCUGCCUAUUAGUGGGGGACAACGUUUCGAAAGGAACGCUAAUACCGCAUACGUCCUACGGGAGAAAGCAGGGGACCUUCGGGCCUUGCGCUAAUAGAUGAGCCUAGGUCGGAUUAGCUUGUUGGUGAGGUAAUGGCUCACCAAGGCGACGAUCCGUAACUGGUCUGAGAGGAUGAUCAGUCACACUGGAACUGAGACACGGUCCAGACUCCCACGGGAGGCAGCAGUGGGGAAUAUUGGACAAUGGGCGAAAGCCUGAUCCAGCCAUGCCGCGUGUGUGAAGAAGGUCUUCGGAUUGUAAAGCACUUUAAGUUGGGAGGAAGGGUUGUAGAUUAAUACUCUGCAAUUUUGACGUUACCGACGGAAUAAGCACCGGCUAACUCUGUGCCAGCCGCCGCGGUAACAC